ACUCAUAGCCUAGAUAAAUAAAUGCGAGUUAGCAAACCUAACUUUAAAAAGGGGCAACAUUAGGUUAAGGAACUAUUUAAUGUUGACAUUUUCUUAAUACUGUUAAAUUACUAUAACUAACUACAACUGUCCAGCCUCAUUUGUAAGAAAAACAUUUUAGUUUUCAUCAGUUGAUUGAAAUGAAGGUCGCAGCUCUCCUUGUUCUGGUUUGUCUUGCUAACUUCUACAGCUCAUCAAACGGUUGCUGCCAACGGACAGGUGAACCAUGCAUGGUCCAAGUUGACUGUUGUGGCGAUAACAAUUGCGAAUUAAUGGGCCGUUUUGAAGGUACCUGUGAUCACAUGUACACCAUAGUUCGAGGAUGAAAGACAACUGCCAAGAUGUUCUAAAUAUAUGAUACUAACAACAGUUGCGUCAUGUCGUUUUUAUGUUACUUUAUUUGAUGUAAUCUUUUUCUCACUGGAGAAUUAUAUAAGAAUAUUAGGUA